rnacentral:piRNA from 1 species
UGGAGAAGAAAUGAGCUUGCCUGUGGCC